UGCCUUGCCUCUUGGCAAAAUACAAAACGAAUAAAAUAUAGCUGUGUUGGUAGGUUUAUUCUCGAAGACUCGGCUCAUAACACAAAG
rnacentral:sRNA from 1 species